UACAGAGGUCUCAAGCGUUGUUCGGAUUCAUUGGGCGUAAAGGGUGCGUAGGCGGCGCGGUAAGUCGGGUGUGAAAUUUCGAGGCUUAACUUCGAAACUGCAUUCGAUACUGCCGUGCUUGAAGACUGGAGAGGAGACUGGAAUUUACGGUGUAGCGGUGAAAUGCGUAGAUAUCGUAAGGAAGACCAGUGGCGAAGGCGGGUCUCUGGACAGUUCCUGACGCUGAGGCACGAAGGCCAGGGGAGCAAACGGG
rnacentral:rRNA from 1 species